CCGAGUUGACAAACUCCCUAAACCCUGUGAACAUACCUUAACUGUUGCCUCGGCGGAGGCAGCCCGCGCCCCCCGGCCCUACGGGACGGCCCGCCGCAGGUACCCUAAACAUCUGAUACUUUAGUGGACUUCUGAGUAUAUACUGAAUAAGUCA
rnacentral:misc_RNA from 1 species